GACGAACGCUGGCGGCGUGCUUAACACAUGCAAGUCGAACGGAAAGGCCCUGCUUUUGUGGGGUGCUCGAGUGGCGAACGGGUGAGUAACACGUGAGUAACCUGCCCUUGACUUUGGGAUAACUUCAGGAAACUGGGGCUCAUACCGGAUAGGAGCUCCUGCUGCAUGGUGGUGGUUGGAAAGUUUCGGCGGUUGGGGAUGGACUGGCGGCUUAUCAGCUUGUUGGUGGGGUAGUGGUUGACCAAGGCUUUGACGGGUAGCCGGCCUGAGAGGGUGACCGGCCACAAUGGGACUGAGAGACGCCCCAGACGCCUACGGGAGGCAGCAGUGGAGAAUAUGGCACAAUGGGCGGAAGCGUGAUGCAGCAGUGCCGCGUGCGUGAUGACGGCCUACUGGUUGUAAACCGCUUUCGCCGGUGACGAAGCGUGAGUGACGGUAAUGGGUAAAGAAGCACCGGCUAACUACGUG
rnacentral:rRNA from 1 species